AGUGAACGCUGGCGGCAGGCCUAAUACAUGCAAGUCGAACGGCAGCACAGCAGAGCUUGCUCUGUGGGUGGCGAGUGGCGGACGGGUGAGGAAUACGUGGGAAUCUGCCCAGUCGUGGGGGAUAACGUAGGGAAACUUACGCUAAUACCGCAUGCGCCCUUCGGGGGAAAGCCGGGGACCUUCGGGCCUGGCGCGGAUUGGAUGAGCCCACGUCGGAUUAGCUAGUUGGCGGGGUAAAGGCCCACCAAGGCGACGAUCCGUAGCUGGUCUGAGAGGAUGAUCAGCCACACUGGAACUGAGACACGGUCCAGACUCCUACGGGAGGCAGCAGUAGGGAAUAUUGGACAAUGGGCGCAAGCCUGAUCCAGCCAUGCCGCGUGAGUGAAGAAGGCCCUCGGGGUUGUAAAGCUCUUUUGUCCGGAAAGAAAGCGCCGGGUUAAUACCCUGGUGUCCUGACGGUACCGGAAGAAUAAGCACCGGCUAACUUCGUGCCAGCAGCCG
rnacentral:rRNA from 1 species